rnacentral:rRNA from 1 species
UGGGGAAUUUUGGACAAUGGGCGAAAGCCUGAUCCAGCAAUGCCGCGUGUGUGAAGAAGGCCUUCGGGUUGUAAAGCACUUUUGUCCGGAAAGAAAUCCUUGGCUCUAAUACAGUCGGGGGAUGACGGUACCGGAAGAAUAAGCACCGGCUAACUACGUGCCAGCAGCCGCGGUAAUACGUAGGGUGCAAGCGUUAAUCGGAAUUACUGGGCGUAAAGCGUGCGCAGGCGGUUUGCUAAGACCGAUGUGAAAUCCCCGGGCUCAACCUGGGAACUGCAUUGGUGACUGGCAGGCUAGAGUAUGGCAGAGGGGGGUAGAAUUCCACGUGUAGCAGUGAAAUGCGUAGAGAUGUGGAGGAAUACCGAUGGCGAAGGCAGCCCCCUGGGCCAAUACUGACGCUCAUGCACGAAAGCGUGGGGAGCAAACAGGAUUAGAUACCCUGGUAGUCCACGCCCUAAACGAUGUCAACUAGUUGUUGGGGGAUUCAUUUCCUUAGUAACGUAGCUAACGCGUGAAGUUGACCGCCUGGGGAGUACGGUCGCAAGAUUAAACUCAAAGGAAUUGACGGGGUCAUAGCUGUUUCCU